rnacentral:rRNA from 1 species
AUACGGAGGGUCCAAGCGUUAUCGGGAAUCAUUGGGUUUAAAGGGUCCGCAGGCGGUCAAUUAAGUCAGAGGUGAAAGCCCAUCGCUCAACGAUGGAACUGCCUUUGAUACUGGUUGACUUGAGUUAUACGGAAGUAGAUAGAAUAAGUAGUGUAGCGGUGAAAUGCAUAGAUAUUACUUAGAAUACCGAUUGCGAAGGCAGUCUACUACGUAUAUACUGACGCUGAGGGACGAAAGCGUGGGGAGCGAACAGGAUUAGAAACCCCGGUAGUCC